GACAGAGGGUGCAAACGUUGUUCGGAAUUACUGGGCGUAAAGCGCGCGCAGGCGGCUAUCCAAGUCAGUGGUGAAAGCCCGGAGCUCAACUCCGGAACUGCCAUUGAAACUGUUUAGCUUGAGGAUGAGAGAGGUGAGUGGAAUUCCCAGUGUAGAGGUGAAAUUCGUAGAUAUUGGGAAGAACACCGGUGGCGAAGGCGGCUCACUGGCUCAUUACUGACGCUCAGGCGCGAUAGCGUGGGGAGUCAAACAGG
rnacentral:rRNA from 1 species